AACGAACGCUGGCGGCAUGCCUAACACAUGCAAGUCGAACGAGGCCUUCGGGUCUAGUGGCGCACGGGUGCGUAACGCGUGGGAACCUGCCCUUAGGUUCGGAAUAACUCCCCGAAAGGGGUGCUAAUACCGGAUAAUGUCUUCGGACCAAAGAUUUAUCGCCUUUGGAUGGGCCCGCGUUGGAUUAGCUAGUUGGUAGGGUAAAAGCCUACCAAGGCGACGAUCCAUAGCUGGUCUGAGAGGAUGAUCAGCCACACUGGGACUGAGACUCGGCCCAGACUCCUACGGGAGGCAGCAGUGGGGAAUAUUGGACAAUGGGCGAAAGCCUGAUCCAGCAAUGCCGCGUGAGUGAUGAAGGCCUUAGGGUUGUAAAGCUCUUUUACCCGGGAUGAUAAUGACAGUACCGGGAGAAUAAGCUCCGGCUAACUCCGUG
rnacentral:rRNA from 1 species